CGCUUACCAAUGAUGGUGAAAUAAAAAUGUCUGAACAUAUGAGGUUCCUGUGAUAUCAGUUACUUUCUCUGAAAGUAAGUGAUCGGUAAGCA